CGGACGUAGGUAACCUGCCUGGUAGCGGGGGAUAACUAUUGGAAACGAUAGCUAAUACCGCAUAAUAGUAGAUGUUGCAUGACAUUUCUUAAAAGGUGCAAUUGCAUCACUACCAGAUGGACCUGCGUUGUAUUAGCUAGUUGGUGGGGUAACGGCUCACCAAGGCGACGAUACAUAGCCGACCUGAGAGGGUGAUCGGCCACACUGGGACUGAGACACGGCCCAG
rnacentral:rRNA from 1 species